rnacentral:rRNA from 1 species
AGUUGACUCAAAUCAGGUAGGAAUACCCGCUGAACUUAAGCAUAUCAAUAAGCGGAGGAAAAGAAACCAACCGGGAUUGCCUUAGUAACGGCGAGUGAAGCGGCAAAAGCUCAAAUUUGAAAUCUGGCGUCUUCGACGU